UCCGUAGCCACACGGGACUGAGACACGGCCGUACAUCUACGGAUGCAGCACUAGGAAUAUUCGGCAAUGGGCGAAGCUGACCGAGCGACACGCGUGGAGGAUGAAGGCCCUCGGGUGUAACUCCUUUUAUGGGGAAGAUUAUGACGGUACCCCACGAAUAAGCACUGCUAACUACGUGCCAGAAGCCUCGGUAAUACGUAGGGUGCAAGCGUUAUCCGGAUUCAUUGGGCGUAAAGAGUUGCGUAGGCGGAUUUGUACAUUUUGUUUAAAAGGUCGUGGCUCAACCACGGUUUUGGCCAAAAUAUGGCAAGUCUAGAGGGAAAUAGAGGGUACUGGAACUAAUCAUGAAGCAGUGAAAUGCGUUGAUAUGAUUGGGAACACCAAAGGCGUAGGCAGGUACCUGGAUUUCUCCUGACGCUGAGGCACGAAAGCAUGGGGCGCGAAGCAGAUUAGAGACCUGCGUAGUCCAUGCCGUAAACGAUCCCUGCUAGAUGGGAGGAGCAAUCUUCCUGUCGUAAGGUAACCCGUUAAGCAGGGCGCCUGGGGAGUACGAACGCAAGUUUAAAACUCAAAGGAAUUGACGGGGAGGCGCACAAGCAGUGGAGCGUGUGGUUUAAUUCGAUUCAAAGCGAAGCACCUCACCAGGGU
rnacentral:rRNA from 1 species